UACGUAGGGUGCAAGCGUUGUCCGGAAUCAUUGGGCGUAAAGCGCGCGUAGGUGGCUUCGUAAGUCCGUUGUGAAAGUCAAAGGCUCAACCUUUGAAAGCCGAUGGAUACUGCGGAGCUAGAGUACGGAAGAGGCGAGUGGAAUUCCUGGUGUAGCGGUGGAAUGCGCAGAUAUCAGGAGGAACACCAAUAGCGAAGGCAGCUCGCUGAGACGUCACUGACGCUGAGGCGCGAAAGCGUGGGGAGCGAACAGG
rnacentral:rRNA from 1 species